rnacentral:rRNA from 1 species
AGAGCGAACGCUGGCGGCAGGCCUAACACAUGCAAGUCGAGCGCCCCGCAAGGGGAGCGGCAGACGGGAGAGUAACACGUGGGAACGUACCCUUUGGUUCGGAACAACACAGGGAAACUUGUGCUAAUACCGGAUAAGCCCUUACGGGGAAAGAUUUAUUGCCAAAGGAUCGGCCCGCGUCUGAUUAGCUUGUUGGUGAGGUAACGGCUCACCAAGGCUACGAUCAGUAGCUGGUCUGAGAGGAUGAUCAGCCUCACUGGGACUGAGACACGGCCCAGACUCCUACGGGAGGCAGCAGUGGGGAAUAUUGGACAAUGGGCGCAAGCCUGAUCCAGCCAUGCCGCGUGGAUGAUGAAGGCCCUAGGGUUGUAAAGUCCUUUCGACGGGAAGAUAAGUGAACGGUACCGUAGAAAGAAGCCCCGGCUAAACGUUCGUGCCAGCAGCCGC